rnacentral:tRNA from 1 species
GCCUGGGUGGCGAAAUCGGUAGACGCAGCGGAUUCAAAAUCCGCCGCCCAUAAAGCGUGUCGGUUCGAGUCCGACCCUAGGCACCA